rnacentral:rRNA from 1 species
UGGGGAAUUUUGGACAAUGGGCGCAAGCCUGAUCCAGCCAUUCCGCGUGCAGGAUGAAGGCCCUCGGGUUGUAAACUGCUUUUGGACGGAACGAAAAGCCUUCUUCUAAUACAGGGGGGUCAUGACGGUACCGUCAGAAUAAGCACCGGCUAACUACGUUCCAGCAGCCGCGGUAAUACGUAGGGUGCAAGCGUUAAUCGGAAUUACUGGGCGUAAAGCGUGCGCAGGCGGUAAUGUAAGACAGAUGUGAAAUCCCCGGGCUCAACCUGGGAACUGCAUUUGUGACUGCACAGCUGGAGUGCGGCAGAGGGGGAUGGAAUUCCGCGUGUAGCAGUGAAAUGCGUAGAUAUGCGGAGGAACACCGAUGGCGAAGGCAAUCCCCUGGGCCUGCACUGACGCUCAUGCACGAAAGCGUGGGGAGCAAA